rnacentral:rRNA from 1 species
UACAGAGGGGGCAAGCGUUGUUCGGAAUUACUGGGCGUAAAGGGCGCGUAGGCGGCCUGCUAAGUCGAACGUGAAAUCCCCGGGCUCAACCCGGGAACUGCGUCCGAUACUGGUUGGCUUGAAUCCGGGAGAGGGAUGCGGAAUUCCAGGUGUAGCGGUGAAAUGCGUAGAUAUCUGGAGGAAUACCGGUGGCGAAGGCGGCAUCCUGGACCGACAUUGACGCUGAACGGCGAAAGCUAGGGGAGCAAACGGG